CUGGUCAAAAUCUGGUGAAAAUCUUCUUUGUGAUAGAUUUUGUGGUGUGCCCCAUUAUUGAAUAUUUGAUAGUGCUCCCAUUGUUGAGCAUUUGGUGGUGUUCCCCAUUAUUGAAUAUGGAUACCCAGCAAGCUGACACAUGUCCAUCUGAGAAAAACACACCGUUUCAUUAAAACUCUGUGAUCGUGGGCUUUGGUUGCGUAAUGCAUGAUUGGGCUCCGUAUUUUGAAGGUGUAUUCGGCCCGAUGAGAUGGAUGUCGACUCUAACCUUAAUACGGCUGAAGCAAAGAACCAAAGUUCGUCUCUCUGAAACAUCGUCCUCUUGACUUCCUUGUUAUGUGAUUUCUGUCCAAGAAAAAACUCAUUGUAACACAUUCAAUCAACACUAAGAGUUUGCCAUUAUCGUUCACAUUCAUUCUCAGAAAACAUGUUUCCACCACUUUCAUUUAUUCCCAAUCACCACCUCUUUCAGCUUCUUCGCACUCAUUUACCUAUAGAGAGGCAUCUCCAUCGCCAUGCAUCUCAAAGAUGAAGGUUAUUAUCGUCUUUUUGUUGACCAAAUCAAUUUAGUAUGUAUUGUGAAAAGUCAAUCAUUUAUUUAUAUUAGUAAUGUUUAACGGUUACCUUUGACGAACAUAAAUGGCUUGAUCAACACAAAACAAAAGCUAAAUAGUUGUUUCUUAUUCUUAAAAAUUGAGGACUAGAAUAAAGAUUGAGGACUAGAAUAAUGUAAUUAAAUGGCUCACUUAAAAAUCAUAACUUUUAUCUCUGAAACAUCGUCCUCUUGACUUCCAUGUUCUGCGAUUUAUGUCCAAGAAAAACUCAUUGUAACACAUUCAAUCAACACUAAGAGUUCGCCAUUAUCGUUCACAUUCAUUUUCUGAAAACAUGUUUCCACCACUUUCAUUUAUUCCCAAUCACCACCUCUUUCAGCUUCUUCGCACUCAUUCACCUAUAGAUAGGCAUCUCCAUUGCCAUGAAUCUCAAAGAUGAAGGUUAUUAUCGUCUUUUUGU
rnacentral:lncRNA from 1 species